GAGUUUGAUCCUGGCUCAGGAUGAACGCUGGCGGCGUGCCUAAUACAUGCAAGUCGAGCGAACGGACGAGAAGCUUGCUUCUCUGAUGUUAGCGGCGGACGGGUGAGUAACACGUGGAUAACCUACCUAUAAGACUGGGAUAACUUCGGGAAACCGGAGCUAAUACCGGAUAAUAUUUUGAACCGCAUGGUUCAAAAGUGAAAGACGGUCUUGCUGUCACUUAUAGAUGGAUCCGCGCUGCAUUAGCUAGUUGGUAAGGUAACGGCUUACCAAGGCAACGAUGCAUAGCCGACCUGAGAGGGUGAUCGGCCACACUGGAACUGAGACACGGUCCAGACUCCUACGGGAGGCAGCAGUAGGGAAUCUUCCGCAAUGGGCGAAAGCCUGACGGAGCAACGCCGCGUGAGUGAUGAAGGUCUUCGGAUCGUAAAACUCUGUUAUUAGGGAAGAACAUAUGUGUAAGUAACUGUGCACAUCUUGACGGUACCUAAUCAGAAAGCCACGGCUAACUACGUGCCAGCAGCCGCGGUAAUACGUAGGUGGCAAGCGUUAUCCGGAAUUAUUGGGCGUAAAGCGCGCGUAGGCGGUUUUUUAAGUCUGAUGUGAAAGCCCACGGCUCAACCGUGGAGGGUCAUUGGAAACUGGAAAACUUGAGUGCAGAAGAGGAAAGUGGAAUUCCAUGUGUAGCGGUGAAAUGCGCAGAGAUAUGGAGGGACACCAGUGGCGAAGGCGACUUUCUGGUCUGUAACUGACGCUGAUGUGCGAAAGCGUGGGGAUCAAACAGGAUUAGAUACCCUGGUAGUCCACGCCGUAAACGAUGAGUGCUAAGUGUUAGGGGGUUUCCGCCCCUUAGUGCUGCAGCUAACGCAUUAAGCACUCCGCCUGGGGAGUACGACCGCAAGGUUGAAACUCAAAGGAAUUGACGGGGACCCGCACAAGCGGUGGAGCAUGUGGUUUAAUUCGAAGCAACGCGAAGAACCUUACCAAAUCUUGACAUCCUUUGACAACUCUAGAGAUAGAGCCUUCCCCUUCGGGGGACAAAGUGACAGGUGGUGCAUGGUUGUCGUCAGCUCGUGUCGUGAGAUGUUGGGUUAAGUCCCGCAACGAGCGCAACCCUUAAGCUUAGUUGCCAUCAUUAAGUUGGGCACUCUAAGUUGACUGCCGGUGACAAACCGGAGGAAGGUGGGGAUGACGUCAAAUCAUCAUGCCCCUUAUGAUUAGGGCUACACACGUGCUACAAUGGACAAUACAAAGGGCAGCGAAACCGCGAGGUCAAGCAAAUCCCAUAAAGUUGUUCUCAGUUCGGAUUGUAGUCUGCAACUCGACUACAUGAAGCUGGAAUCGCUAGUAAUCGUAGAUCAGCAUGCUACGGUGAAUACGUUCCCGGGUCUUGUACACACCGCCCGUCACACCACGAGAGUUUGUAACACCCGAAGCCGGUGGAGUAACCUUUUAGGAGCUAGCCGUCGAAGGUGGGACAAAUGAUUGGGGUGAAGUCGUAACAAGGUAGCCGUAUCGGAAGGUGCGGCUGGAUCACC
rnacentral:rRNA from 1 species